rnacentral:lncRNA from 1 species
AUGUGGAACAGGGAUCACCUGGGAUGGGAACUGGGAAUUGUCUGGGAUUGGGAUCACCUGGGAUGGGUCCUGGAGGAUCAUCCAGUGCGGAUUUGGAGUAGGGAUAAUGUGGGAUGGGAGCACAUGGAAUGGCAGCUGGCGGAUCCAUGGGAUGGACCACGAGGAACCCCUGGGAUGGGACCUGGGGUGGAUUCAGGGUGGGACCUGGGGAUCACCUGGAAUGGGAUGGGACUGGGGGGGAAAUCUCCUGGAUCCAGGCUGUGCCAGCUGCUCCCACCCCCACCAGGGACCAUCUCCCAGCACUUCUCCAGGUAUUUUCCAACCAUAAAAAAAAAUCCACCGCGGGCUCCAGGACCACCCAAAGCCAGGGAUCCAACUCUGCCCCCAUUGCUGCCCUUUCCCUGCUCACCUGGACAUCGUUUUCCCCCUAAAAUGGGAUUUUUAAGGGAAAAAAGUAGCUCAGGAACCCCCCCCAGCAUUCCCCAUCCUGAAGGACCGGAGAUGUUUGCUCCAAUCUGGAAUCAAUCCCAAAUUCUCCCCAUUCCCUUUAAUUUUAGCAACCCGAGAUGUUUCCAUCCCGUUUCAACAACGAGGUUUAAAAAAACAUUAAUUAAAUUUGGGAAAGCAACACCAAGACCUCCCAAGGUUUUUCCCAAAGGAAAAGCAGGAAUUUUUUUCCCCAUUUUUCCCCGUUUUUCCCCUUUCCGAGCCCUCUGGAUCCGUGGCUCCCUCCCCCUCCCCACAAUAACUCUGCCCCUGGGCAAACGUGACGAGGUGCCUGGGAAAUGUCUGCGGGAACAGGAGGCCCCUCCACGCCCAGCUGCCAGAAAAAAGUCUGGAAAAACGGCUCCGGAAGCGGGAUCGCUCCAGGCUGGGAGCUGGGCUGGGAAAUCCAGGCAGGUUCUGCACGGGGGGAUGAAAACAAAGCCCAAAAAUCCCUUUAUGAACGCGUUUUUCCCAUGUUUGCUUUGGAAAAAAGGAAUGGUUCCGUUUCCCUGGGGUGGUUUUGGAAGCUGUUGCACCGGGAUUUUUCUCCCUGGUUUUCCGCUUUCGGGUUCUUUGUGGAAGGGGAAGAUCCCGUCUGCGGGAGAAAUGAAAAAACCACACAAAUCGUCCCGAAAUCAGGCACGGGGAAAUGCGGGAAACCUUCUCCAGGGAUGGCCAAAGUGA